rnacentral:rRNA from 1 species
UACGAAGGGGGCUAGCGUUGUUCGGAUUUACUGGGCGUAAAGGGCGCGUAGGCGGCCACCGCAAGUCGACUGUGAAAUCUCCGGGCUUAACCCGGAAAGGUCAGCCGAUACUGCGGGGCUAGAGUGCAGAAGGGGCAACUGGAAUUCUCGGUGUAGCGGUGAAAUGCGUAGAUAUCGAGAGGAACACCUGCGGCGAAGGCGGGUUGCUGGGCCUGACACUGACGCUGAGGCGCGAAAGCUAGGGGAGCGAACGGG